rnacentral:rRNA from 1 species
AUUGAACGCUGGCGGCAGGCCUAACACAUGCAAGUCGAGCGAGCGGCGGACGGGUGAGUAAUGUCUGGGAAACUGCCUGAUGGAGGGGGAUAACUACUGGAAACGGUAGCUAAUACCGCAUACCAUCAGAUGUGCCCAGAUGGGAUUAGCUAGUUGGUAAGGUAACGGCUUACCAAGGCAACGAUGCAUAGCCGACCUGAGAGGGUGAUCGGCCACACUGGAACUGAGACACGGUCCAGACUCCUACGGGAGGCAGCAGUGGGGAAUAUUGCACAAUGGGCGCAAGCCUGAUGCAGCCAUGCCGCGUGUAUGAAGAAGGCCUUCGGGUUGUAAAGUACUUUCAGCGGGGAGGCGUUACCCGCAGAAGAAGCACCGGCUAACUCCGUGCCAGCAGCCGCGGUAAUUC